rnacentral:lncRNA from 1 species
CCAUGAACUAAGUUUUCCUCUUUCUCUGUACCUAUUACUUAUUAUUUUUCUUUUUUGGUCAUUAUUGCUCUUUCUUUUUCUUCUCCAUGGUGUCUUUCACCACACCCUUAACCUUACCUUUUCUUCUAUUUUCCAUGAUCUAUCUCUCUCUAUCUACCUCUUUUUUUUCUUUUUCUUCCACCACUUUCUUCAUCCUAUUAAACCUGACAAUCAUAACCCUAUGUUUUCCAUGAUCUAUUCCUCUUUAUUUUUUCAUUUUUUUUUCAUUUUCUUCUUCCUCACAGCCCACACCACAACCCUAACCCUAACCCUAACCCUAAACCUAACCCUAACCCUAAUUCCCCUCUAACCGAAUUUUCCAAACUUAAUCUAAACCCUCACCCAAAUAACCCUAAUCCCAAUACAAACUCUUACUCUAUUAAAUCCCAACCCUAGCUCAAAUUCCAAACUCAAUCAUCUAAACCCUAACCCGACCAUAAUUCUAACCCUAACCCAAAAUCCAGCCCAAAGUUGUGCCCAACCUAAAUCUAGAUCCUAUUUCUAACCCAAACCCAAACCCUAACCUAAAUAUGAAUGCUAUUUCACAACCUAUCCGAACUCAACAACUCUUUAACCCAAACCCAAUAACCCCUUAAUCCAUCAACCCAAAAUCCAAUAAUCCAAACCUGAUAACCUAUUAAACUAUUUACCUAAAAUCCAACAACCCAAACCCAAUAACCCGCUACCCAUUAAUCUAAAAAUCCAACAUCUAAAACCCAUUGACUUGAUAACCCAAACAUGUUAUCUUAAAACCCAAAAUGAUUUUUUCCUCUUAUUCCAUUUCCUUCCUACCAAUUUCUCACCUAAUGGCCUGAUCUUCUUUCCCUCUGCCCCCGAUCACUUACCUCUAUUUUUCUUCUCCUCCUCCUUUGUUCUUUUAUCCCUUAAUGCCCUAUUGCGGCCAAUUUCCUCGUCGUCUGUUCGUCGGAAACGAGCACCUGCAAAGGAAAGUCUACACUGACCGGAGAUGCCUCCGACGGGGACCCUCCGACGGUCAAGUCAGAGAGGAGACUAGACAAUAGUAGAGAGGAAUCAGGGGACUCAGCGGUGGAGAGAGCGAGAGAGAGAAAAAGCCCCCC